rnacentral:misc_RNA from 1 species
GAUGAAGAACGCAGCGAAAUGCGAUAAGUAGUGUGAAUUGUAGAAUUCAGUGAAUCAUCGAAUCUUUGAACGCACAUUGCGCCCUUUGGUAUUCCUUAGGGCAUGCCUGUUCGAGCGUCAUUUAAACCUUCAAGCUAAGCUUGGUGUUGGGUGACUGUCCGCUUCACUGCGGACUCGCCUCAAAAUUAUUGGCGGCCGGUACAUUGGCUUCGAGCGCAGCAGAAACGCGAACUCGGGCCCGUCGUAUUGGCUCCCAGAAGCUAUCUUCACAAUUUUGACCUCGGAUCAGGUAGGGAUACCCGCUGAACUUAAGCAUAUCAAUAAGCGGAGGA